rnacentral:rRNA from 1 species
UACGUAGGGGGCGAGCGUUGUCCGGAUUCAUUGGGCGUAAAGCGCGCGCAGGCGGCCGCGAGAGCCCGGCGUGAAAGCCCCCGGCUCAACCGGGGGAGGCCGUCGGGGACCUCGGGGCUGGAGGCCGGUAGGGGCGAGCGGAAUUCCCGGUGUAGUGGUGGAAUGCGUAGAGAUCCGGAAGAACACCGGUGGCGAAGGCGGCCUGCUGGGCAGUGGCUGACACUGAGGCGCGACAGCGUGGGGAGCAAACAGG